GUGAGCCACCGCGCCCGGCCAAUGGCGCGGUCUUGGCUUACUGCAACCUCUGCCUCCGGGGUUCAAGUGAUUCUCCUGACUUAGCCUCCUGAGUAGAUGAGAUUAUAGGCGCCUGCCACCACGCUCAGCUAAUUUUUUUUUGAGAUGGAGUCUCAAUCUGUCGCCCAGGCUGGAGUGCAGUGGCGCGAUCUCCGCUCACUGCAACCUCUGCCCUGUCACACCGGGUUCAAGCUAUUCUCCUGCUAAACCUCCUGAGUAGCUGGGAUUAUAGGCGCCCACCACCACACUUGGCUAAUUUUUGUAUUUUUGAUAGAGACAGGGUUUCGCCAUCUUGGCCAUGCUGUACUCGAACUCCUGACCUAAGGUGAUCCACCCGCCUCAGCCUCCCAAAAUGCUAGGAUUACAGGCAUGAGCCACUGCACCAGGCCAAUUUUCUUUUCUUUUUAGUAGAGAUGGCUUUCACCAUGUUGACCAGGCUGGUCUUGAACUCCCGACCUCAGGUGAUAUGCCUGCCUCAGCCUCCCAAAGUGCUGGGAUUACAGGAGUGAGCCAUGGCGUCCAGCCAAGAUAUUUAUUUAUUUAUUUAUUUGAGAUAGGGUAUCCCUCUGUCACCCAGGCUGGAGUGCAGUGGUGCGAUCAUAGCUCACUGCAGCCUCAAAGUCUUGGGGUCAUGCCAUCUUCCUGCCUCAGCCUCCUGAAUGCUGGGACUACAGGCAUGUGCCACCAAACCUGGCUAUUUUUUUUUUUUUUUUCUGGUGGAUACCGGGGGUCUCACUGUGUUGCCAAGGAUGGUCUCGAACUCCUUGGCUCAAACAAUCUUUCUGCCUUGGCCUCCCAAAGUUCUGGGGUUACAGGCAUGUGGAACUGCACCCUGCCCUAGAUCCUUACUUUAGAAGUUUCUCAGGUAAUAUUAGCAUGCAGCAGGGUUGAAGUUUUACUGAUCUAGUUCAUUGACUUAUGCUUCAUGGGCCAUUAAUCCUUUACCACAGGGAGAUCAAAGACUUUGCAGGAGUUCACUUGAGAUCCAAUCUCACUUGGCCAUCUGGCUGACUCUCUGGGUGCUACUCAUUUCCACCAAAAUUCUAGCAAUGUUAAGCAUCUCCCCACACCCACAUCAGGAACACUAUUCUUACUUUACUUUUUCACCUUUUUUUUUUUUAACAAAUUACAAGUUUUGUCAGUUUGCUUUUACAGUUUACUACAAAUGUCCUUUAAUAAUUCUUCAACUUUAUUGUUUAAUUUAAAAAAAUAUAUACUAUGGGCCAGGCGCGGUGGCUCAUGCCUGUAAUCCCAGCACUUUGGGAGGCCAAGAUGGGCAGAUCACCUGAGGCCGGGAGUUUGAGACCAGCCUGACCAACAUGCAGAAACCCCAUCUCUACUAAAAAUACAAAAUUAACCGGGCGUGGUGGCACAUGCCUGUACCAGCUACUUGGGAGGCUGAGGCAGGAGAAUCGCAUGAAGCCGGGAGGCGGAGGCUGCAAUGAGCCGAGAUCACGCCAUUGCACUCCAGCCUGGGCAACAACAGCGAAACUCCGUCUCAAAAAACAAAACAAAACAAAACAAAAACAAAAUAUAUAUAUAUAUACACACACACACUAUACAGGCUCAUGCCUGUAAUCUCAGCACUUUGGGAGGCCGAGGGGGGGUGGAUCACUUGAGGUCAGGAGUUCGAGACCAGCCUGGCCAACAUGGUGAACCCCCAUCUCUACUAAAAAUACAAAAAUUAGCUGGGCGUGGUAAUGUGUGCCUGUAAUCCCAGCAACUGAGGAGGCUGAGGCAGGAGAAUUGCUUGAACCAGGGAGGUGGAGGUUGCAGUGAGCCGAGAUUAUGCCACUUCACUCCAGCCUGGGCGACAGAGUGAAACUCCGUCUCAAAAAAUAAAAAUUACCUGCACUCCAACCUGGGUGACAGAGUGAGACUUUGCCUAAAAAACAAAAACAAACUAUUCAUAUAAAAACACAUAUUGAUAUAUAUGUAUUGAAUAUACAUGAGCACACACACACACACGUGUGUCCUUAUAUCAUUCUGUAUUUUGCUUUUCUUUCUUUCUUAAACUUGUUCUUGAAUCUUUCAAAUGUACGGAAGAAUAUAUAUAAGAAAUCAACAGUCAAUAAAUAGGAACAUAAACUCAAAUGGUCAAUAAACAUAUGAAAAUAUUCUCAAUUUUAUUGUAAUUAUGAAAAUGCACAUUCAAACCACACUAAGAAGAUACUGUACAUCUAUCCGAUUCAAAAGUUUAAAAGUCUGACAAAGGGAGGAUGUAAAGCAAAGGGAAUGUUAACAUAGUGCUGAUUUGAGUAAAAGUUAGGACAACCACUUUGGAGAAGAAGUAGGCAAUAUCUAAUGUAUUAGUCAGUCAUUGCCAUAAUGCUAUGUUAAAAAAAAAAAAAAAAAAAAGCCCAAAUAAGCAAAAAUUUGGCUGGGCAUGGUGGCUCAUGCCUGUAAUCCCAGCACUUUGGGAGGCCGAGGUGGGCAGAUCACUUGAGGUCAGGAGUUUGAGACCUACCUGGCCAACAUGGUAAAACCCUAUUUCUACUAAAAAUACAAUACCUUCCCCAGCUGUCUCCACCACACUGUCAAUCUCACUCACUCUUUCCUAGCUGUUUCUAAUCCUUCUUUAACAAACAAUUGCUGGCUUUGCAUUUCUCUUUCCUCCAAAAUCACCAAGGCCUCGACUUACUCACUGCUAAAAAAGAAAAAAAAAAAAGGGAUUCUGUAUAUUUUUAAAUGAAGAGUGUUGUUUUCACCUAAAUCAGUCUGGCCUUGUGUAUGACAACAUAAAAAAACUCUGUCAAGGAUAGAGCCCAAAAACUCACCAACAAAGCAAGUAAUUACGCUGAACCCCCUUGGGCACUCUCUAAUUGGAUGUCCUAUGUCCUCCCAAUUCUUAGUCCUUUAAUACCUGUUUUUCUCUUUCUCUUAAUUCAGACCUUGUGUCUUCUGUUUAGUUUCUCAAUUCAUACAAAACCACAUCCAGGCCAUCACUAAUCAUUCUAUUCGACAAAUGCUCCUUUUAACAACCCCACAAUAUCGCCCCUUGCCACAAAAUCUUCCUUCAGCUUAAUCUCUCCCACUCUAGGUUCCCACGCCGCCCCUAAUCCCGCUAGAAGCAGCCUUGAGAAACAUCACCCAUUAUCUCUCCAUACCACCCCCCAAAAAUUUUCGCCACCCCAACACUUUUGUUUUAUUUUUCUUAUUAAUAUAAGAAGACAGGAAUGUCAGGCCUCUGAGCCCAAGCUAAACCAUCAUAUCCCUUGUGACCUGCACGUAUAUCCAGAUGGCUGAAGUAACUGAAGAAUCACAAAAGAAGUGAAAAUGGCCGGUUCCUGCCUUAACUGAUGACAUUACCUUGUGAAAUUCCUUCUCCUGGCUCAGAUGCUCCCCCACUGAGCACCUUGUGACCCCCCGCCCCAGCCCGCCAGAGAACAACCCUUUGACUGUAAUUUUCCACUACCUACCCAAAUCCUGUAAAACGGCCCCACCCCUAUCUCCCUUCGCUGACUCUCUUUUCAGACUCAGCCCGCCUGCACCCAGGUGAAAUAAACAGCCUUGUUGCUCACACAAAGCCUGUUUGGUGGUCUCUUUACACGGACGUGCGUGACAUGUAUGUUUUUGUUUAACUUGUAUACAAAGGCUUAUGGAUAGGUGCAAAAAUAAAUUCUCUUUUGCAACCCAGAACUCAUUGUUCAGUGUGAGUUUUGAUACAUAUAAGAAGGGAUAUUAUGAUACCUGAGACAGUUAACUGAUGGGAGUAUUGAUAGCCAUAAAGGUUGGUUCCAGGCCAGGCACAGUGGCUCAAGCUUGCAAUCCCACACCAAGGUGGGAGUAUUGCUUAAAGCCAGCAGUUCAAGGCCAGCCUGGGCAAGAAAGUAACAAAUACCUCAUCUCCACAAAAAUUUAAAAAUUAGCUGAAUACUGGGGCAUGUGUCUGUGGUUGCAGCUACUCAGGAAGGGGAGGCUGAGG
rnacentral:lncRNA from 1 species